CCUACGGGUGGCAGCAGUGAGGAAUAUUGGUCAAUGGGCGUAAGCCUGAACCAGCCAAGUCGCGUGAAGGAUGACGGCUCUAUGGGUUGUAAACUUCUUUUAUAAGGGAAUAAAGUGUGGCACGUGUCCCUUUUUGUAUGUACCUUAUGAAUAAGGAUCGGCUAACUCCGUGCCAGCAGCCGCGGUAAUACGGAGGAUCCGAGCGUUAUCCGGAUUUAUUGGGUUUAAAGGGUGCGUAGGUGGGUUGUUAAGUCAGUGGUGAAAGUCUGUGGCUCAACCGUAGAAUUGCAGUUGAUACUGGCAGUCUUGAGUAUAGUUGAGGCAGGCGGAAUGCGUGGUGUAGCGGUGAAAUGCUUAGAUAUCACGAAGAACCCCGAUUGCGAAGGCAGCUUACCAAGCCGUGACUGACACUGAUGCACGAAAGUGUGGGGAUCAAACAGGAUUAGAUACCCGUGUAGUC
rnacentral:rRNA from 1 species